ensembl:lncRNA
GGCUUCAGGGGCCUGAGGCUGCAGGGCACGUCUGUCCCCGAGCAGGUCUGCAUGGCCGCAGGCGAGCUUCCUGGCUGGGCUGCCUCCAGCCCGCUUCUCAGUCCCUCAUGGACAUUCUCUCACUAUAAACUAUCCUUUUCCACUCAAGACAGCCAGAGAUGGUUUCUGUUGCAACUCCGAGUCCUGACCUUGGGAUGGCUGCUUUUGAGGAGUGGUGAGAGAGGAGGCUGCGUGAGGCCCUUGUGAUGAUGUUUUGAGCAGUAUGUCCAUCUGGGCACAGUUUACCCAGGGAAAAGUUAUACUUGUCAAAGGUUGCUGCCUCAGGUUACAUGGUUCUGGGAUAGAGAAGAAAGGCUGCUGCUGCUGCUAAGUCACUUCAGUCGUGUCCAACUCUGUGCGACCCCAUAGACGGCAGCCCACCAGGCUCCGCCGUCCCUGGGAUUCUCCAGGGAAGAACAAUGGAGUGGGUUGCAAUUUCCUUCUCCAAUGCAUGAAAGUGAAAAGUGAACGUGAAGUCCCUCAGUCGUGUCGGACUCUUCGUGACCCCAUGGACUGCAAGCUACCAGGCUCCUCCAUCCAUGGGAUUUUCCAAGCAGCAGGUUCUAAAUUAGCUUUUUACUGUUAGCCCUCCCACCUGAGCCUUGUGGACCAAUGGCUAUCGCCCGUCAAUCAAGUAACUCACUUCUCUGGGGGCGGGAGCACGCGUGUCACGUGCUCGCAGUCUCUCUCCAGGGAAACGCGAGACAAGAGAAUAAACGUUCCUGGCCCAGUAGCACCGUAGGAUUCCAUUUCUGUUUUUAAAAAAUGCGUGUAUGUUGGUGGAAAUAGAUGUGAGGCCUGGAGCAGAAGCAGUCGCCUUGUGACCACGGGGAUCACUGCCUUAUGCUGAGAG